UACGAAGGGGGCUAGCGUUGCUCGGAAUCACUGGGCGUAAAGGGUGCGUAGGCGGGUCUUUAAGUCAGGGGUGAAAUCCUGGAGCUCAACUCCAGAACUGCCUUUGAUACUGGCUGUCUUGAGUACGGGAGAGGUGUGUGGAACUCCGAGUGUAGAGGUGAAAUUCGUAGAUAUUCGGAAGAACACCAGUGGCGAAGGCGACACACUGGCCCGUUACUGACGCUGAGGCGCGAAAGCGUGGGGAGCAAACAGGG
rnacentral:rRNA from 1 species